GUGGAUGUGCCCGAAAGGGAACCUGAACACAGGUGCUGCAUGGCUGUCGCCAUUCUCGAUGAUCGUGAGACGUUGGGUUAAGUCCCGCAACGAGCGCAACCCUUGCUCAUUAGUUGCUACAUUCAGUUGGGCACUCUAAUGAGACUGCCGGUGACAAACCGGAGGAAGGUGGGGAUGACGUCAAGUCCUCAUGGCCCUUAUGGGUAGGGCCUCACACGUCAUACAAUGGCGCAUACAGAGGGUUGCCAACCCGCGAGGGGGAGCCAAUCCCAGAAAGUGCGUCGUAGUCCGGAUCGGAGUCUGCAACUCGACUCCGUGAAGUCGGAAUCGCUAGUAAUCGCGGAUCAGCAUGUCGCGGUGAAUACGUUCCCGGGUCUUGUACACACCGCCCGUCACACCAUGGGAGCGGGUUUCACCAGA
rnacentral:rRNA from 1 species